UUAAGCAACUGUAAAAAGUACAGCAUCCUAUGAUUUCAGGUAAUUUUUUUCCAAAGUAAAAACUGUAGGUGUUAUAAUCUAAAAUAACUAUUUUCAUAAACACAUUUAUAAAAUAUUUUAUGAGGAAGUUUUUUUGGAAAACAUGUCAAACCUAAACAGAAGACUUGUUACAAUGAUGCCUAUCCAGCAACAUUUCUCUUUUAAAUAGCAUGAAUCAUAAUUGCAAAAUAAAUAUCACAUACAAUGACUCGACAAAAAAUAAGAGGAAAUAAUAAGUAAUACUAACUGUGUACACAGGGAGGUAAAAGAGUGAGCUACCAGAACUUACACAGGAAGGAAAAAGAGGGGACAACCAGAACUUACACAGGAAGGGUAAUAAGGGGACUACCAGAACUUACACAGAAAGGGAAAGAGGGAACUACCAGAACUUACACAGGAAGGGAAACGAGGGAACAACCAGAACUUACACAGGAAGAGUAAUAAGGGGACUACCAAAACUUACACAGGAAAGGAAAAGAGGGGACAACCAGAACUUACACAGGAAGGGAAUAGAGAGGACUACCAGAACUUACACAGGAAGGGAAAAGAGGAAAUACCAGAACUUACACAGGAAGGGAAAAUAGGGGACAUCCAGAAUUUACACAGGAAGGUAAAUAAGGGGACAACCAGAACUGUCACAGGAAGGGGAAAAGAACAAGGCCUAUUUUAGAACAAAAUGACAUGGUCAAUAGAACAAUAGCAGUCAUCUAACCGGAUCACAAACAGCCUUUUGCAUUCUCAGUGUUUUAACAUUUAUAAACGUAAAAGGUCUUCCUUACGUAAUGACAUGAUUAAAAUGCACGGCGUCACCAAAGCUAUUUUAUCCUAUGAAGGUUAUCAGAAACAGAACAUCUGAAAAGGAAUGAAGAGCGAGCUACACAUGGCCUUGAUUAUCAAAGAGGGAGUGAUCUGUGAUCUAGCUUUAUUUCUAGUUCUUGAAAGUGAAAAUCACGCAGGCAACGUUGACCUUUCAAAGCAUAUGGCGUUCCUUUAAAUGUGAGGAACAGCCGGCGGAACAGACGAGUACGCUCCUCGACUCCUUCCGUCAAACGAGAAGAAAGAGAGGAGGAUGAAGUGAAGGGAAUGAAUAUUCAUGGCAGAGUGUUUGCUUGAUUUCCAUGGGGACACG
rnacentral:lncRNA from 1 species